rnacentral:lncRNA from 1 species
CAGUGAUUUGAAGUUUUCUGGUCAUUGCAGCGGGAGGACAGGGCUCACCGCAGGGAGCAAUCCGCAGCCCUGCUGGAAGUCAUUGCCGGCAUCACGGAUGAACUGAGAUUCUGCAAACAAGAGCAAGCUGCUCGACAGGAGACUGUCUGACCUCAGUCAGGCUGGGAGCUACACCAGAGGGGUCUUACAACAUAUUGCCUGGAAGUCCGGUUCUAAGCGGGUUUGCCUUAGACCGUCUUCUCCUUUCGUACUGCUGCUUCAAGAAAGAAGAUCAAUCCUAAUAAUACUGAACACUGUGCAACAUCCCUCAAAUUGAACGGUUGCCAUUCAGGACCAUCUUCUGCAAGUGAAGCCUUUUCUUCGUACAGUGAGGU